UACGGAGGGGGCGAGCGUUAAUCGGAAUAACUGGGCGUAAAGGGCACGCAGGCGGGCUUUUAAGUGAGAUGUGAAAUCCCCGGGCUUAACCUGGGAAUAGCAUUGGAGACUGGGAGACUAGAGUACUUUAGGGGGGGGUGGAAUUCCACGUGUAGCGGUGAAAUGCGUAGAGAUGUGGAGGAAUACCAGAGGCGAAGGCAGCCCCUUGGGAAUGUACUGACGCUGAUGUGCGAAAGCGUGGGGAGCAAACAGG
rnacentral:rRNA from 1 species